GCUUUCAACAUCCCCGUUCCAGUUCGAGCGAAUGCGCACAGGCGUGUUGUCUCGUAUUUGGAGCUGAAGGC
rnacentral:sRNA from 1 species